rnacentral:rRNA from 1 species
CUACGGGAGGCAGCAGUAGGGAAUAUUGCACAAUGGGCGAAAGCCUGAUGCAGCAACACCGCGUGUGUGAUGAAGGCCUUCGGGUCGUAAAGCACUUUUAUGAGGGAAGAGGAAGGACGGUACCUCAUGAAUAAGGAUCGGCUAACUACGUGCCAGCAGCCGCGGUAACACGUAGGAUCCAAGCGUUAUCCGGAUUUACUGGGCGUAAAGCGCGUGUAGGCGGCUUGGUUAGUUGGAUGUGAAAGCUCCUGGCCCAACCGGGAGACGUCGUUCAAUACUGCCAGGCUUGAGGACGGUAGAGGAAGGUGGAAUUCCGGGUGUAGUGGUGAAAUGCGUAGAUAUCAGGAGGAACACCUGCAGCGAAGGCGGCGCUCUGGGCUGGAACUGACGCUGAGGAGCGAAAGCAUGGGUAGCAAACAGGAUUAGAUACCCCAGUAGUCC